UUAAAGUUUCCUCUGUGAAAAUCAAGGUUUGGGAGUUUCCUCCGGCAGUGGCCUAAAUAUCUCCGUUUGGGGCAUUGGAGGGUAUGGAAUACCGAAUCUACACACCUCUUUUCCACUUUUAUUGGCUGCCUUAAGACAUGACCUUUUAGUGUGAUUAUGCUUUUGGUAUUCAACAUAUGGAGAUAAUUCUGAGUCUGUAAAAUCUACUGUAGUGUGUUUAUUAAUGAAGGCUACAACUGUUGAAAUUGACUCAGUGCUAUUUAAGUCCACUGCUGGGGCAUCUUUCAGCCAAAACAUGCCGUGUAUGUGGGGAGAACCUCUUUGUUGAAAUUCAACACGCCAAUAGAUUUUGAUGACAAAGUUUUCUCCGAAAAUGCCCUCUGGACUCUUCAUCACUUUCAAAAUCUCUCGAUACCUAUAAUCAAAAUACCUAGCGCAAGUAACAGGAUCUGCCCUAAUAAGACGAGCUUUUUCGUAAUGUACUAAACCUAUUGCAUCUUCUUCGCUAAUUGUCUGCCUAUCUACAGUUCUCUCGAGCAAAAC
rnacentral:lncRNA from 1 species